rnacentral:tRNA from 1 species
AGGAGUGUGACUCAGUGGUAGUGUGUUUGCCUGGCAAGUGUAAGGCCCUGAGUUCAAUUCCCAGCACCCCAA